rnacentral:rRNA from 1 species
UAGCCCUGGGGGAACCUGGGGCUGGAUCACCUCCUUA